UACAGAGGGUGCAAGCGUUAAUCGGAAUUACUGGGCGUAAAGCGUGCGUAGACGGUUAUGUAAGUCAGAUGUGAAAGCCCCGGGCUUAACCUGGGAAUGGCAUUUGAGACUGCAUAGCUAGGGUGCGGAAGAGGGAAGCGGAAUUUCCGGUGUAGCGGUGAAAUGCGUAGAUAUCGGAGGGAACACCAGUGGCGAAAGCGGCUUCCUGGUCCAGCACCGACGUUCAGGCACGAAAGCGUGGGGAGCAAACAGG
rnacentral:rRNA from 1 species